CGGAUUGCAGGCUGCAACUCGCCUGCAUGAAGUCGGAGUUGCUAGUAAUCGCAGAUCAGAAUGCUGCGGUGAAUGCGUUCCCGGGUCUUGUACACACCGCCCGUCACACCAUGGAAGUUGGGGGCGCCCGAAGUCGGCUAGGAAAUAGGCUGCCUAAGGUGAAACCAAUGACUGGGUGAAGUCGUAACAAGGUACC
rnacentral:rRNA from 1 species